GAUGAACGCUGGCGGCGUGCCUAAUACAUGCAAGUCGAGCGAACGGACGAGAAGCUUGCUUCUCUGAUGUUAGCGGCGGACGGGUGAGUAACACGUGGAUAACCUACCUAUAAGACUGGGAUAACUUCGGGAAACCGUAGCUAAUACCGGAUAAUAUUUUGAACCGCAUGGUUCAAAAGUGAAAGACGGUCUUGCUGUCACUUAUAGAUGGAUCCGCGCUGCAUUAGCUAGUUGGUAAGGUAACGGCCUACCAAGGCAACGAUGCAUAGCCGACCUGAGAGGAUGAUCGGCCACACUGGAACUGAGACACGGUCCAGACUCCUACGGGAGGCAGCAGUAGGGAAUCUUCCGCAAUGGGCGAAAGCCUGACGGAGCAACGCCGCGUGAGUGAUGAAGGUCUUCGGAUCGUAAAACUCUGUUAUUAGGGAAGAACAUAUGUGUAAGUAACUGUGCACAUCUUGACGGUACCUAAUCAGAAAGCCACGGCUAACUACGUG
rnacentral:rRNA from 1 species